UACGACCCAAGACAAUUAGGUUUUUCAUAUCUCGCUCCUUUCUAGUUGUCAACUGGUGUGUAAGAAGAAUGUAGCCGUCUCUAUCUUUUCUUACGUUUAAUGAGGGAUUUUUUGUUAUGUAUUUUCUCCCGCAUUAUGUUUUUUCUCCCGCAUUAUAUAUUCUUUGUUCUGUGAUUUGGAAUUUAUGAUAUAAUUGUGAAAGUUUUCGUCUUAAUAUUUUUUCAAUAAAGAAAGUGGCGAUGAUGAAAAAAAGGCCGGACUUACGGCUGCUACCACUCUCUUACGGCUGUUUAAGUGGGUGUUGUAGUAGAAUGAUGCUAAAGUUUCCAAAGACAGCAUUUUUGCCGGCCUGUGACUGACCGAGUGCAGAAGCCGUACUUCGGCUUUAGCUCAAAAGAUGGGGUCUAAUCACUGGACUGAGGAUACCUUAUGACUGCGUUUCUCGUCAUGGUUUUAAAAGUUGUAGUUACCUUGGUUGCUGUUUACAUGACUUGAACAGAGGCUCAUAUUUAUGAUGAAAGAUGCGUCAACAACGGUGGAAAUUACAGGGCGAGGAGUUGCGCUCGUUGGUUUGUUGUUCUGUGUCUAUGGUAGCUUAUCACUUGUCUAAUGCGCCUCGUUACUUCGAGAACUAUAGCUGAAAAAUACUAGAUGAA